AACUAAACCUAUCACCCGCUCCCUCGCGCCCUGCUGGAUCGAGGGGACGAGGAGCUCCUGCCUCCCCGACGGCCGGCCUCCUCCUCGCCCCGCCGCUGCGUCCGGCGCCGCCACGGCCUCUGGAGCCAGGGAAGCCAUGGCCUGAGCUCGGCCUCGAGGUCCCCGCCGCCGUCUCCUGCAGCUUCUGCCCCGCCGCCUCACCGCCCGAGCUCGCCGUCGCACCAACCUCGGCGCCGCGCCGCCGCCGGCUCUGGCGCGGAUCUGGGCAUGGCAGCGCGAAGUGGCCGUUUCUCUGGCUCGAUCUGCUGCUACGGUGUCCAGGCGGCCGGAAGGAGAUGGUCGGUGGUUGAGGGGCUGUAGGCGCGCUGGUCUUACACGGUGAGGGUUGGCAAGGUGGGCUACUCGGGUCCACUGGUUGGAUGGUUAAGGUUGCCGGCGAAAGCUGAACUCCGGCAGUGGCCGGAGUUGUCGAUGGCGGCACCGGCAGGCCGUUUCCUUGCUGAAGACUGCGGUGUGGUGGUCAAUAAAUCAUGUCAAAUGUUGUAGGGUGCUCGAAGUAAUGAGUUUGCUGCUGCUUCAAGCCAAGUGCACCUCUGUAGUCUUGCUGAAGAAAGAGGAGGAGAAGUUGAACGUAUAAGGUGUCGUGGCCGGAGGCCACAUGGACCCCACCUCCGCCGCAGGGGUGACGUGUAUUUCCUCUUGCUUCACCGCCUUAUAGCCAAGCAGACCAGGAGUGACCUCCUCUCCUACUACACCAGCGGCCUUCACUGGCUCUGGAGACAUGGUGGCCAUUGACGCUCCGACGCCGAUGAGUAAUCAGUUCCAUCAUUGACAUAUAACCUGACAAGUUGUUGGGCAGGAUGGGUUCCGUUGGCGUUGUGGUCCAGACACAAUAAUUCUUUGAAGCAGCGCCGUAGUGGAAUGAUGUAAAAAAAGUGUGAUGUGCCACAAUUUGGAUGAAAUGAUUUCUAGCUGCUAUGAGGAACGAAGCUUAAUCGGUGACUGCACUCUUUUUAACCAAGCUUCAGUCUAAGGAGAAUUUGACAAGUAAUCAAGCAAGUCAGCACUAUCGUCGAUGGAAGUUGUCGUGCGGAGAUGGAAGUUGACAAGUAAGUUUCUCCAUGAAGCAGAUCUGAUGUGAAGCUUGUGACAGAUAAAAGGACCAACCAAGGAAGAGAAGCAAAUCACAACCCUUUAGUUCAUGGUCUAGGAGCAGGAAGUUAAUUAUCCGCUUUCAAGUAUUUGUUGCCGAAGUGAGCAUCUAAUUGCAGGAAUUCUGUGAGCAGUUGUGUAUUAACCCCUCAAGGAAGAAGAGGGGGGGGGGGGCGGAGAUGGAAGUUGUAGGCGCGUGCCCCCGACCGACCGUCGUUAGACCAGGAUGAGCUAGCGGCGGUGGUCGUCGAGGACUCUAAGCAUCCGCGGAUUGUCGUGGCGUAGUGGUGCCACCGAGGGCACCAACAUCAGCAGUAGAUGCAACAACGGCGGCAGCGGUAAGAGACAUAGGCCAAGGAUAGGGAUAGAGCAACUCAGCCACAAUAAUUUUUUACUAAUUAUGAGAUGUUUCUUAUUUAUUCUGGAUAUGAUCUACUCCCUACAUUUCAUAAUGUAGUGCUCUUGAGAGGUGGAGCAUUAAAGAGCAAAUCAACUGGGCCCAGGCCUUCAUGGCUUCGUCCCCUACUUUCUACUGAUCCAUGCCAACUGCGUAGUUAUUUACUUUGGAAAGGCCGAGAUAUAUUUCACAUUUAACAGAAAAGUUCACACUGCAAUUGUCUCUACAAAGUUAUGUUUUGUUUUCAUUAUUUGUUUAUGUAACUCAGUUUUGGACUUGGUACUCAUCUUGACAAUAGUGUUUUUAGAUGGUGCUGGGGAAUAGAUUCAGUUGAGUGGUGGAGUUAGCACUUGCUCAUGGUCAUGGAUGACUCUUCCUCAUAGAUGGAUGUAUGUUUAGUACUCCGUCAGUUUCAUAAUUCUUGUCGGGCUUUUAGUUCAAAGUAAAACCAUGACAAUAACUAUGGAACGGAGGGAGUACUUAUUUGUCGAACCGGAGUUAGUACGUGCAUGGUGUGUGGUAACUACUCUUGCAUUUGAUUUUUUUGUGCUUUUAGUCUUUUAGAGGCUUUGUACUCCAUUGAUACACAUGUGGCGUAUUUGCAGGAUAGAUAAUGCUUCAUUGGUAGCACACACAGUGCAUCUAGAGAAAUACGGGGAUAUAUUCUUCAGUGGACAUUCAGCUAGAAUACAUAUGCAUUUUCCAUAUACUUCAGAGUUUUUUCUCUCAAGGGAGCUGCAUUUUUUUUGAGAAACGGAAUAACACAUAUUGGUUUUUUUCAUGAUGUAAUGAUCUAGACCAAAGCAACCCUCAUGUAUAUUGAUACUAUACUAGAAGGCCACCGAAGAAUUUUACAGAACAAGAGAAGAUGACGUGCACCGUAUCUUUAAGAUGACUUCCCUCACCAUGUGGCAUGCACUUUUUGGUUUUACUUUAGCGCAAUUGCCAUGUAUGUAAGGGAUGCAAUUAGGUUGAAUAUUGCAAUUGUAGUUUUUUCUGAACUUUUUCAACACCCCAGCAUUAGUAAAAUACUCCCCCCAUUCCAUAAUGUAAGACGUUUUUGCAAGCUAUAUGUUUGUUAUACAUUAUAUU